CCCUUCUCUCCCGUCCGUAGGACUGUGUGGUGAUCCCUUCCUCGCAAAUGUUAAUUAUUCCUAUUUUGUUUUUUUAACAGAAAUCAUAGCCCCUUGAUGAGCUUUGGAGCCAGCUUUGUCAGUUUUCUGAAUGCCAUGAUGACAUUUGAGGAGGAAAAAAUGCAGUUGGCGUGUGAUGACUUAAGAACGACAGAGAAGCUGUGCGAGAGCGAGGAGGCGGGCGUGAUCGAAACCAUCAAGAAUAAAAUUAAGAAGAACGCGGACGCCCGGAAGUCGGCGCCCUCGAUGGUGGACCGGCUGCAGCGGCAGAUCAUCAUCGCGGACUGCCAGGUGUACCUGGCCGUGCUCUCCUUCGUCAAGCAGGAGCUCUCAGCGUACAUAAAGGGCGGCUGGAUCCUCCGGAAAGCCUGGAAGAUCUACAACAAGUGCUACCUGGACAUCAACGCGCUGCAGGAGCUGCACCAGAGGAGGCCGCCGGGGGAGCCCUCGCCCGCCGACGCCGCCAACGACAACCACGCGGCGGCGGACGGGGUGUCCGAGGAGACCCUGAGCCGGCUGCGAGGUGCCGUGAGCUUUGGAUACGGCCUGUUCCACCUUUGCAUCUCCAUGGUGCCCCCCAACCUGCUCAAAAUCAUCAACCUGCUGGGGUUCCCCGGAGACCGCCGCCAGGGGCUGUCUUCACUGAUGUAUGCGAGCGAAACAGCAGAGCAGGAGGAGGUCCGGGCCCAGCAUCUCUCCCCCCGCAGGCUGGCGCUCCUGUGGUUCCACACCGUGGUCCGCCCCUUCUUCGCCCUGGACGGCAGCGACAGCCGGGCGGGCCUGGAGGAGGCCAAGGAGAUCCUGCGCAGGAAGGAGGCUGCCUACCCCAACUCCUCCCUCUUCAUGUUCUUCAAGGGGCGCAUCCAGCGACUCGAGUGCCAGAUCAACAGUGCCUUGGCCUCCUUCCACACGGCCCUGGAGCUCGCCGCGGACCAGCGGGAGAUCCAGCACGUCUGUCUGUACGAGAUCGCUGGUGCAGCCGAUCGAGCUGCCCUGACCCUGCUCUCUCCCAGGCUGGUGCAGCAUGAUCGAGCUGAACUUCCAGGACGCGUUUGGCUCCUUCGAGAGGCUGAAGAACGAGUCCCGGUGGUCACAGUGCUACUACGCCUACCUGACGGCCGUUUGCCAGGGGGCCGCCGGCGACGUGGACGGCGCGCAGGCCAUCUUCAAGGAGGUGCAGAAGCUCUUCAAGAGGAAGAACAACCAGAUCGAGCAGUUCUCCGUGAAGAAGGCGGAGCGGUUCCGGAAGCAGGCGCCCACCCGCGCGCUGUGCGUGCUGGCCUCCGUGGAAGUGCUGUACCUCUGGAAGGCCCUCCCCAACUGCUCCUUCCCCAGCCUGCAGAGGAUGAGUCAAGCCUGCCACGAGGUGGACGACGCCGCGGCCGUGGGGCUGAAGCACCUGCUGCUGGGGGCCAUCCACAAGUGCCUGGGGAACACGGAGGACGCCGCCCAGUGCCGUGUGUCUUUCUUUCAGUUCUUCCAGCGCGCUGCGAAGGAUGAGCUGUGCCGUCAGAGUAACCUGUACGUCCAGCCGUACGCCUGCUAUGAGCUGGGCUGUCUCCUGUUAGAGAAGCCAGAGACGGUAGCAAGAGGCAGAGCCCUCCUCCUCCAGGCAAAGGAGGAUUUCUCUGGCUACGACUUUGAGAACAGACUGCACGUGCGCAUCCACGCGGCGCUGGCCUCCCUGCGGGAGCUGGUCCCGCAGUGACGGACGGGGCUCCCGCGUCCCCCCUCCGGGUUCUGCCCCUGGGGCCGGAGGCAGAGGCUGGAAGCAGAGGACGCGGCUCCUGGAGGACCGGCCUUCCCCCGCCGCCGCCGCCGCCGCCGCCUGCGCAGGGACAGACGCUUCCCCGGUUAGGCCGCCGUAGUGGAGAUCUAGCUCCAAAACACAGCAAUGAGAUCGUAGUCUUGUAACCAACGCCUGGGCAGGGGUUAAGUGGCCUUGUUCAGACACUUUAGUUUUGUGAUUUAUUAUUUUUAAAAUAAAAACCAAGCUCCACACUCAGCCUGCGAUCUUGUGGACACGCCGACCGUAAGCUCACGUCUGCCCGGCCACACCGAGAGGUGCCCGUGCGGCUGGUGACGGCGUCGCUGCGGCAGUUACAGUUACGUUGUGUUUUGGGGAAAAGGAAGUGCUUCCGGUGUUUUUCUUUGCCCUCGAGCCGCCCCUAUGAGGAACCUGGCACAGAUAUUCCGAUCCCCGCAGCCCAGACCACGAAACUCAGGCACAGAAGGCGAAUUGAUUUACCCCAAUUAAUUCUUCCUGUUACCAGUGGACCCGUCUCCGGAGCAGGAAGCGAAUAUUCCUUUAUUGUAAAAAGUAUAUGUUAAGAACCCAGGGUUCCUUGUUUUCCUUAUUAAAAAAAAACACUUGCUCUUCA